rnacentral:lncRNA from 1 species
ACCCAUCUCUUGCUGCAACACGUUGUAUAAGGUGAUUUCAAGGCUAAUGGUGGGAAAACUUAAGCCGAUUCUCCCCUCUUUGAUCCUGCAUAAUCAAACGGCAUUUGUCAAAGGGAGGCUUCUUGUUGAAAAUACGGUCCUAGCGGGUGAAAUAGUGAGUGGUUACCACAAAGAAACGGGUCCCAAACGCAUAACCAUUAAGGUCGACAUUGCCAAGGCUUUCGACACUCUAUCGUGGGACUUCCUCUUCAAUUGUUUGCAGGGGAUUCUACUUCCCGAUCACUAUAUUCGAUGUCUAAAAGCAUGCGUCUGCACAACUAACUUCACCCUAGGCUACAAUGGUGCAGUUCACGGUUAUUUCAAAGGUAAAAGAGGGCUCAGACAGGGUGACCCACUCUCCCCCUACCUCUUCGUAAUAGCUAUGAACUGCCUAUCCCUUAUGCUUAACCAGGCUGCUUUGGAUGGAAAAUUUCAAUAUCACCACCAGUGUGAAGGAACCAAAUUGACUCACCUAUGCUUUGCUGAUGACCUGUUAAUAUUCAUUGAUGGCUCACUCUCCUCUGUCCAGAAUGUUCUUCAAGUCCUCCGUGAGUUUGAACUUCGAUCUGGUUUAGCAGUAAGCAUACACAAAUCUUGCUUCUUCUCGGCAGG